GAAUAUUGGACAAUGGGCGAAAGCCUGAUCCAGCAAUGCCGCGUGUGUGAAGAAGGCCUGCGGGUUGUAAAGCACUUUUAUCGGGAAAGAAAAUCACAGGACUAAUACUUCUGUGCCUUGACAGUACCCGAAGCAUAAGCACCGGCUAACUCCGUGCCAGCAGCCGCGGUAAUACGGAGGGUGCAAGCGUUAAUCGGAAUUACUGGGCGUAAAGCGCGCGUAGGUGGCUUGAUAAGCCGGUUGUGAAAGCCCCGGGCUCAACCUGGGAACGGCAUCCGGAACUGUCAGGCUAGAGUGCAGGAGAGGAAGGUAGAAUUCCCGGUGUAGCGGUGAAAUGCGUAGAGAUCGGGAGGAAUACCAGUGGCGAAGGCGGCCUUCUGGACUGACACUGACACUGAGGUGCGAAAGCGUGGGUAGCAAACAGG
rnacentral:rRNA from 1 species